AACCAGCGAAAGUCUGAAGUUAUUAAACGAUUAUUAAAGUUUAUUGUAGUCGCGGGCUCGUAUAAUAAAUUGGCCGGAAAUCCAUUAAUACGCCCUGACAAACCCGUAUGUCAUGGCAUACCCGGAUUGGGUAUGAAUUUAUGAAAAAAAACUAAUUUUGGGAAUUAAUUAUUAAGUUCGUCAGAGUCGAUUCCACCGACGCCAACCGUUUUCGAAAUGAGCGAGUAGAAGCCGGCGAACGUGCGAAAAGGGGAAAAAUGGCGGUUGGUGCAGUCGGUCAAAGUGCCAACGCCGAACGAGUACCUAUACGUUAUUCGAAGGGGAGAGGAAAAAUAUUCGGAAAGGAAUAUAAUCGGUGGAUUAGACGUUUUCAAACUUUUGCUGUGUCUACCGGACGCGAGAAACACGUGGAUUUGGAUUAUUCGUACGCGUUGAUUAUUUUACACUGGCGGCGGAUGAAAUGAUUAAACGGCACGCGACGACGGCACCGGUUCGCGAACGACGAAAACAUAAUUUGGCGACGGAACGCACUCGAUACGCGCGAUAAACGUUACGACGACGCAGGGCGAAAUAAGAAAAUCGGAUUACACGACGACCGCACGUUCGAUUAAUUCGCGAACGCAACGGUUAAAAACAGAGGCGAUCGGUAUUCGC